rnacentral:sRNA from 1 species
GCAAGUGGGGACCAGUCGGUCAGGGGCUGCACCUGCCCCAGCAUCCCUGGCCUGGGUGGAGAGGGGUGGAGGCCCCACAGAGGGGUUUUUCUCCCACAGCGCCUGACUUUGGUCCCUGCAGGUGAAGGAGCUUGGUGCUGUCAUCUAUAACUGCAGCCACCUGGCCCAAGACCUGGAGAAGACCUUCCAGACCUACUGGGUGCUGGGGGUGCCCAAGGCUGUCCUCCCCAAAACCUGGCCUCAGAACUUCUCAUCUCACAUCAACCGUUUCCAGCCCUUUCACGGCCUCUUUGAUGGGGUGCCCACCACUGCCUACUUCUCAGCGUCGCCACCAGCACUCUGUCCCCAGGGCCGCACCCGGGACCUGGAGGCGCUGCUGGCGGUGAUGGGGAGCGCCCAGGAGUUCAUCUAUGCCUCCGUGAUGGAGUAUUUCCCCACCACGCGCUUCAGCCACCCCCCCAGGUACUGGCCGGUGCUGGACAACGCGCUGCGGGCGGCAGCCUUCAGCAAGGGCGUGCGCGUGCGCCUGCUGGUCGGCUGCGGACUCAACACGGACCCCACCAUGUUCCCCUACCUGCGGUCCCUGCAGGCGCUCAGCAACCCCGCGGCCAACGUCUCUGUGGACGUG